AGAGUUUGAUCAUGGCUCAGAGCGAACGCUGGCGGCAUGCUUAACACAUGCAAGUCGCACGGUUGGGGUAACUCAACAGUGGCGGACGGGUGAGUAACGCGUGGGGAUCUGUCUCCGGGUGGGGGAUAACCAUGGGAAACUAUGGCUAAUACCGCAUGAUACCCGAGGGUCAAAGGCGCAAGUCGCCUGGAGAGGAACCCGCGUACGAUUAGCUAGUUGGUGGGGUAAAGGCCUACCAAGGCGACGAUCGUUAGCUGGUCUGAGAGGAUGAUCAGCCACACUGGGACUGAGACACGGCCCAGACUCCUACGGGAGGCAGCAGUGGGGAAUAUUGGACAAUGGGCGCAAGCCUGAUCCAGCAAUGCCGCGUGAGUGAAGAAGGUCUUCGGAUUGUAAAGCUCUUUCGACGGGGACGAUGAUGACGGUACCCGUAGAAGAAGCCCCGGCUAACUUCGUGCCAGCAGCCGCGGUAAUACGAAGGGGGCUAGCGUUGCUCGGAAUGACUGGGCGUAAAGGGCGCGUAGGCGGUGUACACAGUCAGAUGUGAAAUUCCCGGGCUCAACCUGGGGGCUGCAUUUGAUACAUGUACGCUUGAGUUCGGAAGAGGGUCGUGGAAUUCCCAGUGUAGAGGUGAAAUUCGUAGAUAUUGGGAAGAACACCGGUGGCGAAGGCGGCGACCUGGUCCGAUACUGACGCUGAGGCGCGAAAGCGUGGGGAGCAAACAGGAUUAGAUACCCCCGUAGUCC
rnacentral:rRNA from 1 species